rnacentral:rRNA from 1 species
GGACGAACGGCUGGCGGCGUGCCUAAUACAUGCAAGUCGAACGGUCUUUCUAUGGAAGCUGCUUCCACUGAGAAGAUAGUGGCGAACGGGUGAGUAACACGUGGGUAACCUGCCCAUAAGAGGGGGGAUAACAUCCGGAAACGGGUGCUAAUACCGCAUAGUUUUCUUGAUCGCAUGAUCGGGAAAGGAAAGACGGCCUUUGUGCUGUCGCUUAUGGAUGGACCCGCGGCGUAUUAGUUAGUUGGUGAGGUAACGGCUCACCAAGACGAUGAUACGUAGCCGACCUGAGAGGGUGAUCGGCCACAUUGGGACUGAGACACGGCCCAAACUCCUACGGGAGGCAGCAGUAGGGAAUCUUCCGCAAUGGACGAAAGUCUGACGGAGCAACGCCGCGUGAGUGAAGAAGGUUUUCGGAUCGUAAAACUCUGUUGUCAGAGAAGAACAAGUUGGAGAGUAACUGCUCCAGCCUUGACGGUACCUGACCAGAAAGCCACGGCUAACUACGUGCCAGCCGCCGC